UCUCCUCCCAGCGACUCUUUGUUUACAACAGCCCUCCUAACUUCCUCUUCCCCUCUGUGAAAAAGCUUCUCCUCUCAUGCUGCUCAAGACUUGCAAGUGGCUGGUCACGGUUACAGACCCCAAAUUGCAAUUCUUUACUGAUCCCAAAUGGUUUAUUUUCUGGGGAAAUAACUGGCUAUCUAUUUAUUUAAGGUCAACAUAGUAUGCAGACUGAAGUUCACAGCUCACCUAUGCUGAGAUCCCAUGUGGGUCAAGAGAUAAGAUGAAGAUGAUUUUGGCCCAGCAUGAACAUUCACACCACCUGUUGGGCCAAUGCAAGCACCUGAAUUAGGGACAAAUAACUUCAAAUGGCCAAGCUGGCUGCUCUGCUCUACUAAAGGAUGCCAGGCAGUAGUAGCAAUAUCCUCAGAGUGUGGCCUCUACAGGGGACUUUUUUCCCACAGAAAACAAAAAUGGAGAGAAGACCAAAAGGCAAAAGAAUCCAUGCGCAGAGGCUGGAUAAGAGAACAAGUGGAAAGAAGAAAGUCAGUGCCAGCAGGGAGCCCAAGAAACCCGGCAGGCAGCGAGCAGGUGGGGAUGGGCAGCAGGAGAGAGAGGGGGGAUGGGCAGGAGGAGGAGGAGGGAUGAGGAUGGGGAUGGGCAGCAGCAGCAGGAGAGGUAGGGAUGGCCAGCAGGCGGAGAAAAGGUGGGGAUGGGCAGCAGGAAGAGGAAAGGUGGGGAUGGAGAUGGGUGGCAGGAGGAGGAGGAGGGAUGGGGAUGGGCAGCAAGAGGAAGAGAAGUGGGGAUGGGGGUGGGUGGCAGGAGGAGGAGAGGCAGACAGGAAGGGAGGCAGCAUAACAGAGCAGCAAAGAGAAGGUGAGAAAAUGCACCUGGAAUUCAGACCAAAGAUGAGAAGAAGAAAGGAUAAGAGAGGAGGAGGUGCUCAGACCAGAGGGCCUGGCUGCUGGUAAAGGUGGAAGGAGAGCGUUGCACCACCUCUGUGGAGGGCCUUAGCAAUCACCAGUCAAGGUUACAGUGAGAUGCCUGUUUCUCACACAUAUUUCUUUUGUAAAUGAUUGUUCCUAUUUUCGGCCCCUUUUUCUAAUGACGUGUUUUUCCUAUCAGUUUCUAUGAGCUAACAUCAUAAAAAUGACUCAAUGAUAAAGGGAACUGAAUGAGGUGAGAGAACCGGCAUGUCUGGAGCCCAGACUGGGAAAGCUUCAGGAAUGGCCUGGGAGCCAUUCACACAUCACCAACUCCUCUCCUAUCCUUACACUGAGGAAGUGGAGCUUUGUUUUGAUUUAAUUUAGGUAAAACUUACACAAAAUAACAUGCACACAGGGUUCAGUUCCAGGAGUUACCACAGUUACAUCAGUGAGGCCACCACCCAAAGGAGAAUACGAAACAUUUCCAUCACCUCAAAAAAGUUCCCUCACGCCCUUGCCUCCCACCCCAAGAGGCAAUCACUGUUUGACUUCAAUCAGCAGUGACCACUCUCCUCCACGCCCACUCCCUUUUGGGUGCAGAGACGGUGACCAAAGUGAUAUUAUCUUGGAGGCUGGUCUGGAUGACACCACUUUAUAGGCUCGUGAGGGCUCAGCCCUAUAUAGAGAGGAGGAGAGAGUGGCUACCACACUAACCAAUGAUAUCUCAUAAAUGCAAAUAGGUAUUAAUGCUAAUUAUCUUCAACAGUAAUCAGAGUUCUAUAAAGACAAAUGAAGUCCCACCCACCUAUCAGGUAUGCACAGAACACCAAAAUGCAUCCUUAACUGUCUAUCACCAAUGAUUUUUCUUUCCCACUAAAAUACACUCACCUGGCUGUUUGGAUCUCCAAGUAAAUUACAUAUAUGUGGCACGAUCUUGCUUAGUGUUAAAGUAUGUGCU